rnacentral:miRNA from 1 species
UAAAGAUCCAAGGGCCACC